GUGAAUACACCCUGAAGCGCGCUUGAUUUACCAUCGAGCCGCUUUCAGAUCACUAUUUUUCACACACUUGUGCACCGGUUUUAAGAAGCUGCUUGAAUGGCAACGUUCAAGCGGUGACUUUUUACACGCUUGUGUUUUGUUAAAACGGUUGUUGAUGACAUGUGAUAAACGAAAGCA
rnacentral:misc_RNA from 1 species